CCUACGGGAGGCAGCAGUGGGGAAUCUUGCACAAUGGAGGAAACUCUGAUGCAGCGAUGCCGCGUGAGUGAAGAAGGCCUUUGGGUUGUAAAGCUCUUUUGUAGGGGAAGAUAAUGACUGUACCCUAAGAAUAAGGUCCGGCUAACUUCGUGCCAGCAGCCGCGGUAAUACGAAGGGACCUAGCGUAGUUCGGAAUUACUGGGCGUAAAGCGCGCGUAGGCCGUUGAGUUAGUUAAUUGUGAAAUCCCAAAGCUUAACUUUGGAACUGCAAUUAAAACUGCUCGACUAGAGUUUGAUAGAGGAAAGCGGAAUACAUAGUGUAGAGGUGAAAUUCGUAGAUAUUAUGUAGAACACCAGUUGCGAAGGCGGCUUUCUGGAUCAACACUGACGCUGAGGCGCGAAAGUAUGGGUAGCAAAGAGGAUUAGAUACCCUCGUAGUCCAUACCAUAAACGAUGAUUGCUAGAUGUUGGAAAUUUAUUUUACAGUAUCGCAGCUAACGCAUUAAGCAAUCCGCCUGGGGAGUACGACCGCAAGGUUAAACUCAAAGGAUUGAACGG
rnacentral:rRNA from 1 species